GGGUGAUUUGGUUGCACGAUAGGUCACAACCCACNGGUUCAAAGGGCUGAUCUGGGUGGCUAGGAGAGCGUUCCCAUCCUCAGGGCUCCAUGCCUGUCCCUCUAGAAGUAGGAUUGGGUGGGAAAGAUCCUUCUGCUGGGAUCAAGGAAGACUGUUCUUAGGUCAAGGGUCGAGGAGUAGCUGUGCUCCCCUCUUAGGACCCNAAACACGCUGUCAAGGUCCUUUUGCGACAGAACAUAGGCUCGUCAACCUUUCAAGACAUACAAAGCCUGCUUUU
rnacentral:snRNA from 1 species